UGCCCCUGUGGGCACCUCAGGUGGGAGAACGCCUCUGACUCAGUAGAUGGAGGCCACCGUGUAUCACAGCUCAGGGAUGCUGGCCUGGGGACCUCUGGGGACAAGGAGGAGGAGUCCGACCUCUGCAAAGCCAAAGCUGGCUUUGGUGCUCACCUCCCCCACCAGGAAGGCCUCCAAGGUCUGCAUUGACCACACUCGGAUCAAACUCUGAUGGCCCAGCUCACCCAGGACAGGAAUGACAGGACCUGCCCAGCCAGGAAGCCAGCCAAAUCACACCCCACAAGCUGCAUCUAACCCAAGAGGGAGCCCCCCAUGUCGUGUUUCCCAACACCACUGCUGAUGCCAAAUGUGUGGGGUUUCUCCCCCCACACCAAUGAACUCUCCAUCUCUCUAGAGGCCAACUGGGUGUCCUCCCAUCUGACUCAAUUCUGUCACUAACGACCUGAGUUAGCACAGAUCCCACGGUUUAAACACUUAGUCUGACCAAACUGCCCCCCUUUACAGAGCAGGUGCAAUCUUAGGCCUCCUGGUACUUUGGACUGACCAUCUACAGGUGCUGGAAGUUGCCAUGAUCCCCUUCUCAGAUUUCAUAAUUUGCCAGAUGGCUCCCAGAGCUCAGGGGAACUGAUCAGUAUCAGUAUGUGAUACAGAUUGUUGUAAAGGAUACAGAUGAACAGCCAGAGGAUCAAAAAAGAAAUAAA